rnacentral:rRNA from 1 species
UACGUAGGUGGCAAGCGUUGUCCGGAUUUAUUGGGUUUAAAGGGUGCGUAGGUGGUUUUGUAAGUCAGUGGUGAAAGCCCGGAGCUCAACUCCGGAACUGCCAUUGAUACUGCUUAACUUGAAUCAACUUGAGGUGGAUGGAAUAUUACAUGUAGCGGUGAAAUGCUUAGAUAUGUAAUAGAACACCGAUUGCGAAGGCAGUUCACUAAGGUUGUAUUGACACUGAGGCACGAAAGCGUGGGGAUCAAACAGG